AGAUAAUGAGCUUGUUAAUAGUUUAUAUUUUGAAAAUAUAAGAUAGAAUUUAAAAUAAUUUUAUUAUCUA
rnacentral:tRNA from 1 species